rnacentral:rRNA from 1 species
CCCAGACUCCUACGGGAGGCAGCAGUGAGGAAUAUUGGUCAAUGGACGGAAGUCUGAACCAGCCAUGCCGCGUGCAGGAUGACGGCUCUAUGAGUUGUAAACUGCUUUUGUAUUAGGGUAAACACCCCUACGUGUAGGGGCUUGAAAGUAUAAUACGAAUAAGGAUCGGCUAACUACGUGCCAGCAGCCGCGGUCAUACGUAGGAUCCGAGCAUUAUCCGGAGUGACUGGGUGUAAAGAGUUGCGUAGGUGGCAUAGUAAGUAGCUAGUGAAAUCUGGUGGCUCAACCAUUCAGACUAUUAGCUAAACUGCUAAGCUCGAGACCGUUAGGGGUAACUGGAAUUUCUAGUGUAGGAGUGAAAUCCGUAGAUAUUAGAAGGAACACCGAUAGCGUAGGCAGGUUACUGGGACGGUUCUGACACUAAGGCACGAAAGCGUAGGGAGCAAACGGGAUUAGAUACCCUCGUA